rnacentral:rRNA from 1 species
UACGUAGGGUGCGAGCGUUAAUCGGAAUUACUGGGCGUAAAGCGUGCGCAGGCGGUUUUGUAAGCCAGGUGUGAAAUCCCCGGGCUUAACCUGGGAAUUGCGCUUGAAACUAGCGGGCUUGAGUGUGGCAGAGGGGGGUGGAAUUCCACGUGUAGCAGUGAAAUGCGUAGAGAUGUGGAGGAACACCGAUGGCGAAGGCAGCCCCCUGGGUCAACACUGACGCUCAUGCACGAAAGCGUGGGGAGCAAACAGG